rnacentral:rRNA from 1 species
GAUGAACGCUGGCGGCGUGCCUAAUACAUGCAAGUCGAGCGAACAGACGAGGAGCUUGCUCCUCUGACGUUAGCGGCGGACGGGUGAGUAACACGUGGAUAACCUACCUAUAAGACUGGGAUAACUUCGGGAAACCGGAGCUAAUACCGGAUAAUAUAUUGAACCGCAUGGUUCAAUAGUGAAAGACGGUUUUGCUGUCACUUAUAGAUGGAUCCGCGCCGCAUUAGCUAGUUGGUAAGGUAACGGCUUACCAAGGCGACGAUGCGUAGCCGACCUGAGAGGGGGAUCGGCCACACUGGAGCUGAGACACGGUCCAGCAUCCUAACGGAGGCAGCAGUAGGGAAUCUUCCGCAAUGGGCGAAAGCCUGACGGAGCAACGCCGCGUGAGUGAUGACGGUCUUCGGAUCGUAAAACUCUGUUAUUAGGGAAGAACAAAUGUGUAAGUAACUAUGCACGUCUUGACGGUACCUAAGCAGAAAGCCACGCCUAACUACGU